AUUUGAAGAGCUUGCUCAGAUAUGACGAUGGACAUUGCAAAGAGUGGCGAACGGGUGAGUAACACGUGGGAAACCUACCUCUUAGCAGGGGAUAACAUUUGGAAACAGAUGCUAAUACCGUAUAACAAUAGCAACCGCAUGGUUGCUACUUAAAAGAUGGUUCUGCUAUCACUAAGAGAUGGUCCCGCGGUGCAUUAGUUAGUUGGUGAGGUAAUGGCUCACCAAGACGAUGAUGCAUAGCCAAGUUGAGAGACUGAUCGGCCACAAUGGGACUGAGACACGGCCCAUACUCCUACGGGAGGCAGCAGUAGGGAAUCUUCCACAAUGGGCGAAAGCCUGAUGGAGCAACGCCGCGUGUGUGAUGAAGGGUUUCGGCUCGUAAAACACUGUUGUAAGAGAAGAAUGACAUUGAGAGUAACUGUUCAAUGUGUGACGGUAUCUUACCAGAAAGGAACGGCUAAAUACGUGCCAGCAGCCGCGGUAAUACGUAUGUUCCAAGCGUUAUCCGGAUUUAUUGGGCGUAAAGCGAGCGCAGACGGUUAUUUAAGUCUGAAGUGAAAGCCCUCAGCUCAACUGAGGAAUUGCUUUGGAAACUGGAUGACUUGAGUGCAGUAGAGGAAAGUGGAACUCCAUGUGUAGCGGUGAAAUGCGUAGAU
rnacentral:rRNA from 1 species